rnacentral:rRNA from 1 species
UACGUAGGGACCGAGCGUUGUCCGGAUUCAUUGGGCGUAAAGAGCUCGUAGGCGGCUGUUCAAGUCGAACGUGAAAACUCGGAGCUCAACUCCGAGCCUGCGUUCGAUACUGGACGGCUAGAGUCUGGUAGGGGGAUCUGGAAUUCCUGGUGUAGCGGUGGAAUGCGCAGAUAUCGGGAGGAACACCAAUGGCGAAGGCAGCUCGCUGGGACGUUACUGACGCUGAGACGCGAAAGCGUGGGGAGCAAACAGG